CCUACGGGCGGCAGCAGUGAGGAAUAUUGGUCAAUGGGCGAGAGCCUGAACCAGCCAAGUCGCGUGAGGGAGUACUGCCCUAUGGGUUGUCAACCUCUUUUGUCGGGGAGCAAAAGCCGGACGUGUCCGGCUGUGAGAGUACCCGAAGAAAAAGCAUCGGCUAACUCCGUGCCAUCAGCCGCGGUAAUACGUAGGUGGCGAGCGUUAUCCGGAAUGAUUGGGCGUAAAGGGUGCGUAGGCGGCCUGCUAAGUCUGGAGUGAAAGGGACCGGCUCAACCGGUACAGGCUCUGGAAACUGGCGGGCGAGAGAGCAGGAGAGGGCGGUGGAACUCCAUGUGUAGCGGUAAAAUGCGUAGAUAUAUGGAAGAACACCAGUGGCGAAGGCGGCCGCCUGGCCUGUUACUGACGCUGAGGCACGAAAGCGUGGGGAGCAAAUAGGAUUAGAUACCCUGGUAGUC
rnacentral:rRNA from 1 species